rnacentral:rRNA from 1 species
AUGAACGCUGGCGGCGUGGAUAAGGCAUGCAAGUCGAGUGGGUUUAGACCCACGGCAAACGAGGUAGUAAUACAUAGGAAUUUCCCCCGAAGUCGGGCAUAACCGGUCGAAAGAUCGGAUAAUUCCCGAUAAUCUCUACGGAGCAAAGAUUCAUCGCUUCGGGAAAAGCCUGUGCGAUAUCAGCUAGUUGGUAAGGUAAUGGCUUACCAAGGCUAUGACGUCUAGGGGAGGUGAGAGCCUGACCCCCACCGAUGGUACUGCGACACGGACCAUACACCUACGGGUGGCUGCAGUCGAGAAUCUUCCACAAUGGGCGAAAGCCUGAUGGAGCGACGCCGCGUGAUGGAUGAAGUCCUUCGGGAUGUAAACAUCUUUUAUGAGGGAAGAAGUUAUUGACGGUACCUCAUGAAUAAGGGGUUGCUAAACUCGU